rnacentral:rRNA from 1 species
AUUGAACGUUGGCGGCAUGGAUUAGGCAUGCAAGUCGAGCGAGAAGGGUUUUGAAGCUUGCUUUAGAACCCGGAAAGCGGCGAAAGGGAGAGUAACGAGUAGUUAUCUACCCCAAGGCCCGGAAUAGCUGCGGGAAACUGCAGGUAAUGCCGGAUAAUAUCCCCGGAUCAAAGGUGUGAUUCCGCCUUGGGAGGAGACUGCUUUGUACUAGCUUGUUGGUAGGGUAAUGGCCUACCAAGGCUACGAUGCACAGCGGGCGUGAGAGCGUGGCCCGGCUCACUGGGACUGAAACACUGCCCAGACACCUACGGGUGGCUGCAGUCGAGAAUCUUCGGCAAUGGGCGAAAGCCUGACCGAGCGAUGCCGCGUGCGGGAUGAAGGCCCUCGGGUUGUAAACCGCUGUCGUAGAGGAGAAAGGUCUCGUGAAGAGCGAGAUUUGAUCUAUUCUAGGAGGAAGUCGGGGCUAAGUUCGUGCCAGCAGCCGCCGCGGUAA